UACAGAGGUGGCAAGCGUUGUUCGGAAUUACUGGGCGUAAAGGGCGCGUAGGCGGCCUUGUAAGUCUCGUGUGAAAGCCCUCGGCUUAACUGAGGAUCUGCACGGGAUACUGCGAGGCUUGAGUUCGGGAGAGGAAAGCGGAAUUCCGGGUGUAGCGGUGAAAUGCGUAGAUAUCCGGAGGAACACCGGUGGCGAAGGCGGCGUUCUGGACUGCAACUGACACUGAGGAACGAAAGCUAGGGGAGCAAACGGG
rnacentral:rRNA from 1 species